rnacentral:rRNA from 1 species
AUUGAACGCUGGCGGCAGGCCUAACACAUGCAAGUCGAGCGGCGCGUCGGACGGGUGAGUACUGCCUAGGAAUCUGCCUGGUAGUGGGGUAUAACGUCCGGAAACGUGCGCUAAUACCGCAUACUAUCAGAUGAGCCUAGGUCGGAUUUGCUAGUUGGUGGGGUAAAGGCGUACCAAGGCGACGAUCCGUAACUGGUCUGAGAGGAUGAUCAGUCACACUGGAACUGAGACACGGUCCAGACUCCUACGGGAGGCAGCAGUGGGGAAUAUUGGACAAUGGGCGAAAGCCUGAUCCAGCCAUGCCGCGUGUGUGAAGAAGGUCUUCGGAUUGUAAAGCACUUUAAGUUGAGAGGCGUUACCAACAGAAUAAGCAACGGCUAACUUCGUGCCAGCCGCCGCGGUAAUUC